AUUGAACGCUGGCGGCAGGCCUAACACAUGCAAGUCGAGCGGAGAUGAGGUGCUUGCACCUUAUCUUAGCGGCGGACGGGUGAGUAAUGCUUAGGAAUCUGCCUAUUAGUGGGGGACAACAUUCCGAAAGGAAUGCUAAUACCGCAUACGUCCUACGGGCGAAAGCAGGGGAUCUUCGGACCUUGCGCUAAUAGAUGAGCCUAAGUCGGAUUAGCUAGUUGGUGGGGUAAAGGCCUACCAAGGCGACGAUCUGUAGCGGGUCUGAGAGGAUGAUCCGCCACACUGGGACUGAGACACGGCCCAGACUCCUACGGGAGGCAGCAGUGGGGAAUAUUGGACAAUGGGGGGAACCCUGAUCCAGCCAUGCCGCGUGUGUGAAGAAGGCCUUAUGGUUGUAAAGCACUUUAAGCGAGGAGGAGGCUACUGAGACUAAUACUCUUGGAUAGUGGACGUUACUCGCAGAAUAAGCACCGGCUAACUCUGUGCCAGCCGCCGCGGUAACAC
rnacentral:rRNA from 1 species